GGAGAGGUAUGCAAGCGGUUCAAAGCAGACGGUCUGUAAAACCGUUCCUUCGGGUUCGUGGGUUCAAAUCCCACCCUCUCCACCA
rnacentral:tRNA from 1 species